GGGUCGACGUUGACCGUGCGAAGGGUAGUGGGUCCGCAUCCUGGCCUUGCGCAUCUUCUGCGCGUCUUGUAGUCGGUUGCUCCCCGAGUCUCCUUGGAACGACUGCCACGUGGCUGUCUCGCCAGCCCUUCCGCCCCACGUCCAGCCUGCCCUAGCGCCGGCUGCCCUGCGCAGUCCUGUCUUCACGCUCCGUCAUCACCCAGCUCUUCUCUCCGCUAGGGCUGACGAGUUCCGCCGCCGUCUUUGCCGCCUGCAGGAUGUGGACCACAGCACAUCUCCUCUCACAGGGGACCUUGCUCCCAUUACCGGCAGAAGGAGGACUCCUGAAGCCUCCGAAGGAAGGAAAUCAUUACAGGGCCCUACAGAAGUAGGUCAUGUGCUACAGCUGCUCAUAGUUUAAGAGGAAGAAACAUCGGACCUCAAACCCGGAGCACGACUCUUUCCAAAUGCUUGUGAGCAGCCCAAGAAAAACAUCCUUCCGAGGCUUAUCUAAUAACCAGCAUCUGUAAUCGUCUCAAUGUGCGCUCAGGGGUCCUUGGAGUUUGCACCUACUUCCCAGGGCCGCCAAGAUGCUGAAACAGAAAACAGCAACAUUUAACGAAGGGGAUUUAAUAGUUUGUGUUAAAGCUGAUAGGGCCCAUUAGGGGCUGUCAUUUUUGUAAACAACGAAGACACGUUACCCUCUUCUUGGGUGUAAAGUUGCUCCGCGCCGGACCCGCAAACAUUCGGUAACGAUCUGUAGAACAUGCAGGAAAAGACAAUUAAGGCGCCACUUGAAAAAGUCUGUUUUCCUCACAUAUUUGGUUUCUUGCUAAGUAAACUCAUAAAGAUCAUACAUGUGGAAGCAUAUGCUUACAUUAUAAAAAAUAACAUGAGUGUGCAUUUCAUUAGCAAAAAUCAAAGAACAGACAUCCUAUAAGUGUUUUGGGUUCCUAUAAGCUUGGGAAAUAUCAGAAGUGAUUAGUUAAAUGAAGAGCACAAUUCCUGUUCUUCAGUUCGUAUUACAAUAAUAGAACGGCCACUAUUUUACGGUGCUUUAGGGCACAUAAAAUUAACAGCUUACAACGCCAUUGAAGUCAGAGUGACAACCUUUGAAAGCUGUAAAUAAAAAAGUUUCCAUAAAAUCUAUUUACUGCAGAAAUAGAAUAUUCUGCUUGCUGGGAUUCAGAUUUUGUUUGUUGGCGUUUAUUUUUGCAUUGCAGCAGGCACCAGGCAGGGACAAGAUCUGAGGAGCCGUACCCUUUUCGAGACUAACCAGAUGCACUUGAGAAAUGAAAUCUACUGGACUCUCCGACUUUGGAAGCGGAAUUUGCUCCCUUUCUGUCCCUUUUCUUUUAAAGACAAAUGACUCUUUUGGAUAGGUUUUAGGUUUAGCUGCACCUGACUUUCUGUGCACAGAGGGAAAGGUUUGGGGGUGGGGGGAGGUCCAGAUUCAGAUUAUUCUCAUUAUUCACAGAGCCUCGAAAGCCCCCCAGUGAUGCGUUUUGAGAAGUAGCCUCGGGCAGAACUUGCUAUCAAUGAAGGCCAGGAACAAAAAAACAUUUAAAAGCAGAUUACAAAUCCCUCCUAACAAAGCAAAAUCAAAUCACUGAUCAAUAAGUGCAGCUGGGUUUAAAUUGUUUCCUUAAAAAGGCUUUAAAAACUUUUUGAAUGAGAGGCUGGAGGCUGAACCUUUUAUGCUUUGGUGCAAGCUCCUUCUGGAAAAGUCUUUCCCAGCUCUUUCCAGCGAGGCCUCUCUUGGGACGAGCUGGAGCUGCUCUCUUUCUGCUUAACUCGGGCCCUGUGGCUGGAAAGGCUGGCAACGGGGUAUCCAAGAAAGGAAAGAUGUUCUUUGAUGUAUGUCAGGGCGCUCCAAGAUAUUUUAGCUGCUCAUGCCAACAGCAUAGCUGGAUUCCCGGUGGUCAUCUAGGAACACUUUGUGAAAUGCCCAAACUGGGUGGCUAUUAUUGCUAUAAAAUCAACUUGGAACCUAAAGAAAAUUUUCAACAAAAAAGGCCCCAGCGGCUUCCCUGGUGGCGCAGUGGUUAAGAAUCCACCUGCCAAUGCAGGGGACAUGGGUUCGAGCCCUGGUCCGGGAAGAUCCCACAUGCCGCGGAGCAGCUAAGCCCGUGCGCCACAACUACUGAGCCUGCGCUCUAGAGCCCGCGAGCCACAACUACUGAGCCCUCGUGCCACAACUACUGAAACCCGCACACCUAGAGCCCGUGCUCCGCAACAAGAGAAACCACGAGAAUGGGAAACCCGCGCACUGCAACGAAGACCCAACACAGCC
ensembl:lncRNA